rnacentral:lncRNA from 1 species
CCAAACCUUCAUAACUUCAAAAAUAUAAGUCCAAACACAAUAAAAUUUUCACCAAUAGAUUUCAAAUCAUUUGUUCUACCAAAUAGUACUAUCAAAUCAGGAUUUUAAUGAAAUUAUGAUUUUGCCCUUGAAGAGCAUAAGGACUUUUUUAUUUUAAAAUUAUUUGUAUCCCUUCAAUCUGCUUUGUAAUCAUCAAAAUCAAUCUAGGAGCAACAA